UACGUAGGUGGCAAGCGUUGUCCGGAAUUAUUGGGCGUAAAGCGCGCGCAGGCGGCUUCUUAAGUCUGAUGUGAAAUCUCGGGGCUCAACCCCGAGCGGCCAUUGGAAACUGGGAAGCUUGAGUACAGAAGAGGAGAGUGGAAUUCCACGUGUAGCGGUGAAAUGCGUAGAUAUGUGGAGGAACACCAGUGGCGAAGGCGACUCUCUGGUCGUAACUGAACGCUGAGGCGCGAAAGCGUGGGGAGCAAACAGG
rnacentral:rRNA from 1 species